UUGUGGUUUCAAGUUUUACUUUUACCGAGUUGGUUGGCGCACAUUUUAAAUUAUCUAACCGUUACUAGCUAACCGUUACUACUAGCUAACCGCUAGCUAGCUCUGGCAGAGCGGCUGCCACAGCCACAUAUACGACUCGGUGGGAAUUGCCUUUUUUUUCUACUACUUUUUACCACAGGCUCUGUGAUUUGGUAAUCGUUAUUUUUUUGUGUAACUUGUAUUUCACGUAGUAACCUAAUAAAUGCAAAUGUGGGCUAAGCUAGCUGCCUUACGCUAACAUGUUCUCGUAUCUUCUUUAGUGAACCGGCGGUGCGUUUGAAAAAUAAGAGCGGAGAUGUGAGCUGAGUUUCAUCGCAUCACAAAUGUCAAACUGUUAAAACAGUUUUAUUUUGACCUGGACAGACAGACACAGAGGAUGCUGAUCUUUUUGAGACAGAAGGCAGCACGAACCGGAAGGCUCUAUGCGACAUUCUGCACCUCUAUGAUAAACAGCAAGAGCAGACUGCUGAUGUCAAAGGUACUCCUGUCCUGUACUGGCUUCCCAUAUACAAACGUGAGGAGGACCCACAGUUCUUCAAAGUUUGGAAUAUUAGAGUCACCAGAGCCAGACAUCAGCAGCACCUCUGUUGGCAUUCUGACCGUCAGCAACAACAAUACAAGUUCAGUGCAUUUCUGUCCGCUCAGUACAGCAGUUGUGGUGGAAGAUGAGCUUGUGGUAGGCAAAUUUCCUAAAUGGGUAUUUUUUUUGAGCGCUAAUGUUUAUGGGGAAAUGGCAGCCUAAGAAAAUACUGUUUUAUGUGGGAAAAGUAUAAAAAAAAAAGGCUGAUAAACAAUUUUUGCUUUUCUUGAAAUGUAAGAAUGCUCUUUUUUUAUGAAGUUGUAUAAGGAAAUGGUGUAAAAAAGAUUAGUGCUCAUUUUUUGCUUUUUUUGAAGACUGAUUUAUUUAUUUUUUAUGGCUUGUGCACUUUUUCUUAACACAAAUUGUGCAGUGUUUUACCUUUUUGUAGUACCACAAGUUGUUCAAAUGUACUUGUGUAAGGUGGUUUAAAAAUAAACUUGCAAUUACAA